rnacentral:pre_miRNA from 1 species
UGGAAGAAUCUGUAAAGCUCAGGAGGGAUAGCGCCAUGGAUGAUCUUCUCUUCACUUUUGAUCUUCUCUUGCGCUAUCCAUCCUGAGUUUCAUGGCUUCUAUCC